GAUGAACGCUGGCGGCGUGCCUAAUACAUGCGAGUCGAGCGAACAGACGAGGAGCUUGCUCCUCUGACGUUAGCGGCGGACGGGUGAGUAACACGUGGAUAACCUACCUAUAAGACUGGGAUAACUUCGGGAAACCGGAGCUAAUACCGGAUAAUAUAUUGAACCGCAUGGUUCAAUAGUGAAAGACGGUUUUGCUGUCACUUAUAGAUGGAUCCGCGCCGCAUUAGCUAGUUGGUAAGGUAACGGCUUACCAAGGCAACGAUGCGUAGCCGACCUGAGAGGGUGAUCGGCCACACUGGAACCGAGACACGGUCCAGACUCCUACGGGAGGCAGCAGUAGGGAAUCUUCCGCAAUGGGCGAAAGCCUGACGGAGCAACGCCGCGUGAGUGAUGAAGGUCUUCGGAUCGUAAAACUCUGUUAUUAGGGAAGAACAAAUGUGUAAGUAACUAUGCACGUCUUGACGGUACCUAAUCAGAAAGCCACGGCUAACUACGUG
rnacentral:rRNA from 1 species